rnacentral:rRNA from 1 species
GAAGAGUUUGAUCCUGGCUCAGAUUGAACGCUGGCGGCAGGCCUAACACAUGCAAGUCGAGCGGAUGAAGGGAGCUUGCUCCUGGAUUCAGCGGCGGACGGGUGAGUAAUGCCUAGGAAUCUGCCUGGUAGUGGGGGAUAACGUCCGGAAACGGGCGCUAAUACCGCAUACGUCCUGAGGGAGAAAGUGGGGGAUCUUCGGACCUCACGCUAUCAGAUGAGCCUAGGUCGGAUUAGCUAGUUGGUGGGGUAAAGGCCUACCAAGGCGACGAUCCGUAACUGGUCUGAGAGGAUGAUCAGUCACACUGGAACUGAGACACGGUCCAGACUCCUACGGGAGGCAGCAGUGGGGAAUAUUGGACAAUGGGCGAAAGCCUGAUCCAGCCAUGCCGCGUGUGUGAAGAAGGUCUUCGGAUUGUAAAGCACUUUAAGUUGGGAGGAAGGGCAGUAAGUUAAUACCUUGCUGUUUUGACGUUACCAACAGAAUAAGCACCGGCUAACUUCGUGCCAGCAGCCGCGGUAAUACGAAGGGUGCAAGCGUUAAUCGGAAUUACUGGGCGUAAAGCGCGCGUAGGUGGUUCAGCAAGUUGGAUGUGAAAUCCCCGGGCUCAACCUGGGAACUGCAUCCAAAACUACUGAGCUAGAGUACGGUAGAGGGUGGUGGAAUUUCCUGUGUAGCGGUGAAAUGCGUAGAUAUAGGAAGGAACACCAGUGGCGAAGGCGACCACCUGGACUGAUACUGACACUGAGGUGCGAAAGCGUGGGGAGCAAACAGGAUUAGAUACCCUGGUAGUCCACGCCGUAAACGAUGUCGACUAGCCGUUGGGAUCCUUGAGAUCUUAGUGGCGCAGCUAACGCGAUAAGUCGACCGCCUGGGGAGUACGGCCGCAAGGUAAAACUCAAAGGAAUUGACGGC